AGGACUAACGCUGGCGGCGUGCCUAACACAUGCAAGUCGAACGAGAGUAGCAAUACUCUAGUGGCAGACGGGUGAGUAACACGUGGUCAACCUACCUCUUAGUGGGGGAUAACUAGCCGAAAGGUUAGCUAAUACCGCAUUCGAUCUUCGAUCGGCAUCGAUUGAAGAUGAAAGGCGCAAGUCGCUAAGAGACGGGACCGCGUCCCAUUAGCUAGUUGGCAGGGUAAUGGCCUACCAAGGCGACGAUGGGUAGCUGGCUUGAGAGAGCGACCAGCCACACUGGGACUGAGACACGGCCCAGACUCCUACGGGAGGCAGCAGUGAGGAAUUUUCCGCAAUGGGCGAAAGCCUGACGGAGCGACGCCGCGUGUGGGAAGAAGGCCUUCGGGUCGUAAACCACUGUCGAAGGGGAAGAUAUUGACGGUACCCUUGGAGGAAGCCCCGGCUAACUACGCGCCAGCAGCCGC
rnacentral:rRNA from 1 species